UGGGGAAUAUUGCACAAUGGGCGAAAGCCUGAUGCAGCAACGCCGCGUGAGUGAUGAAGGCCUUCGGGUUGUAAAGCUCUGUCUUUUGGGACGAUAAUGACGGUACCAAAGGAGGAAGCCACGGCUAACUACGUGCCAGCAGCCGCGGUAAUACGUAGGUGGCAAGCGUUGUCCGGAUUUACUGGGCGUAAAGGAUGCGUAGGCGGAUUUUUAAGUGAGAUGUGAAAUACCCGGGCUUAACUUGGGUGCUGCAUUUCAAACUGGGAAUCUAGAGUGAGGGAGAGGAGAAUGGAAUUCCUAGUGUAGCGGUGAAAUGCGUAGAGAUUAGGAAGAACACCAGUGGCGAAGGCGAUUCUCUGGACCGUAACUGACGCUGAGGCAUGAAAGCGUGGGUAGCAAACAGGAUUAGAUACCCUGGUAGUCCACGCCGUAAACGAUGAGUACUAGGUGUAGGAGGUAUCGACCCCUUCUGUGCCGCAGUUAACACAAUAAGUACUCCGCCUGGGAAGUACGAUCGCAAGAUUAAAACUCAAAUGAAUUGACGGGGUCAUAGCUGUUUCCU
rnacentral:rRNA from 1 species